UGCCUAUGGGAAAAAAUUCUCCCUGGUGAACAUGAAGGAGAAUGGCCCGGGAGCAGCUCAGUCCAUGCUUGUCAACCACCCACCUCCAUAUACUCCAGCCCUGGUCCACAUCCCCCAAGGCUCCUUUUGUAGGAUUCCUCAACAGCACAAAUGCACCAACUGUCACUCUAUGUUCUCCUAGACCUACAGGAGGAGUGUGCAGGUGAUAAUCCAGAGGAGGAAGUGUCAUCUAUCAAGGUGGAGUUCACAGCCAAAAAACACCGUACGUAUUCUAAGAGCACUCCCUUGCUGACAACAAAUCUAAGUGAUGAGAAAGGAGGAACUCUCUUGCCUGCUUUUGUCUGGAGACCCUUCCUGGCUUCAGCUUCCUGAUAGGAGUGAGGAUCUGGGGUGUGGUGUGAGAAACAGAAGUCCCAAUAAAGAACUAUGACCAUCCA
rnacentral:lncRNA from 1 species